rnacentral:rRNA from 1 species
CAGUCGCCACGGGAAUACGAAGGGUGCAAGCGUUACUCGGAAUUACUGGGCGUAAAGCGUGCGUAGGUGGUGGUUUAAGUCCGUUGUGAAAGCCCUGGGCUCAACCUGGGAAUUGCAGUGGAUACUGGAUAACUAGAGUGUGGUAGAGGAUAGUGGGAUUUCCGGUAUAGCAGUGAAAUGCGUAGAGAUCGGAAGGAACAUCUGUGGCGAAGGCGACUAUCUGGGCCAACACUGACACUGAGGCACGAAAGCGUGGGGAGCAAACAGGAUUAGAUACCCCGGUAGUCCCUGUCUCUUAUAC